rnacentral:rRNA from 1 species
GACGGAGGGGGCAAGCGUUGUUCGGAAUUAUUGGGCGUAAAGGGCGCGUAGGCGGAUCUGUGUGUCUGGCGUGAAAUCUCCACCACUUAACGGGGAGAGGUCGCUGGAAACUGCAGAUCUGGAGUUUGUUAGAGGACCAUGGAAUUCCAGGUGUAGCGGUGGAAUGCGUAGAUAUCUGGAAGAACACCGGUGGCGAAGGCGGUGGUCUGGGACAAAACUGACGCUGAGGCGCGAAAGCCAGGGGAGCAAA